UACGAAGGGGGCUAGCGUUGCUCGGAAUUACUGGGCGUAAAGCGCACGUAGGCGGUCUUUAAGUCGGGGGUGAAAUCCUGGAGCUCAACUCCAGAACUGCCUUCGAUACUGGAAGACUUGAGUCCGGGAGAGGUGAGUGGAACUGCGAGUGUAGAGGUGAAAUUCGUAGAUAUUCGCAAGAACACCAGUGGCGAAGGCGGCUCACUGGCCCGGUACUGACGCUGAGGUGCGAAAGCGUGGGGAGCAAACAGGG
rnacentral:rRNA from 1 species